CUUGAAACACCGGUUCUUGUCCGAUCACCGAAGUUAAUCAACGUUGAGCCUGGUCAGUACCUAGAUGGGUGACCGCUUGGGAAUACCAGGUGCU
rnacentral:rRNA from 1 species